rnacentral:tRNA from 1 species
GCGGCCGUGGUCUAGCCUGGAUUAGGAUGGCGGCCCUCCAAGCCGCAGAUCCCGGGUUCGAAUCCCGGCGGCCGCACCA